rnacentral:rRNA from 1 species
CCCUUAGAUGUUCUGGGCCGCACGCGCGCUACACUGAACAGUUCAACAAGUCUUAACCUUGGCCGAUAGGUCCGGGUAAUCUUUGAACGCUGUUCGUGAUUGGGAUAGACCUUUGCAAUUAUGGGUCUUCAACGAGGAAUUCCUAGUAAACGCAAGUCAUCAGCUUGCAUUGAUUACGUCCCUGCCCUUUGUACACACCGCCCGUCGCACCUACCGAUUGAAUGGUCCGGUGAAAUCUCGGGACGGCGGCUUGGUCGCUUGCGUCCGACUGCUGAAACUUGAUUAAACCAUAUCAUUUAGAGGAAGGUGAAGUCGUAACA